CUUUCACGAAAUGUAUUUACGCAUGCGUAGAAAUAUUAUUUUGAAUGAAAGUUUUCCGUGAUUUCAGAUCUGACAGCACGUUGCGCAAUUUUUCACAAUAUGUCGUACUGGAGUCUCCUGACUAGAGUCUUCUGCUAGUCUUCUGCAGACUGCACGGACAUCUGGUAUCUACAAUUGAUUUUAACAAUAAGUCAAGCGGAAACGGGUCAAUAUGGGCAUUCGGCAUUUGACAGAUGUUACUAGAUAUCUUCAUUUUCUGUUCUGGAAUACCUCACAUUCUUUCGAUUCGAAGGUUGUCAACCAUCCAAUCCAUCGAUCCAAUCAGGAAUUUCUGGUAAUAUUUGAAUAAUAUGACAUUUUUAAUAUUUUGGAUUGUUUAUUUCCUUUGCGCUAUAUUGUCUCAUGAGAUGUGAUUUGUUGAUCAGGUAGAUGAAGGAUCUUAUGAAAUUAUCAGAGGACUUUUUACUUAAUAAUUUUAUUGAAUAGAAUUCUGAACAUGUGUGUCAAUGAAUGUACAAACUUACAAAAUUUUUAUAGGUGUCAUGUAUGUAAAAAAGUAGCUACAUUCCAAAUACCCAACGGUACGUAAAAACAGUAGUGUAAUAAGAUAGCCCACAUUAAAUGGAUAAUAUCAAUUAAGAGUGGAAGUACCUAUCGUCAUUUGAUGACAUUGAUGGGUGUAGACUGAGAGUACUGUAAUGACCUCGAGUAGUUGACAAUGGGAUUUUUUUGCUACACUUAUAUAGAAAUUUCGAAAAGCAACUAUUUCGCAUACGUCAGAUUUAUUUCUUACCCCAUGCUUCAUAUUAGUAAGAUUAUAGAUGCACGUCCCAUUGGAUAUUUUGUGGUGCUAUAGAUUUUGUUUUGUUCCUUUCACCGCUAGUUAUACCCGUGGGUAUUACGGCAUAAACAGCCUUUCAGUAUUUGGCUUGAGAGUAAAUAUGGAUAUUUUGAAAUGAUUCUAAAUGUUUCAUUCGAAAUGCGUCUUCGCGAAGUGUAAAUAAUAGACUUUUAUGCUUUUUGUUUACAACAUGAACAAAACCAACGAAAGAUAUUCUAUGUUACUCAAAGUACAAUAAGAGAAUGAAUGACUUGCAGUCUCUUUUUAUAAACGUAAUAAGACAAAAUUUGAACAAACACAAAUAAUAAAUACGUUUUUUAAAGUUUGA